rnacentral:snRNA from 1 species
GUGUUCUCUUCGGCAGCACAUAUACUAAAAUUGGAAAGAUACAGAGAAGAUUAGCAUGGCCCCUGCUCAAGGAUGAUACGCAAAUUCGUGAAACGUUCCAUAUUUUU